ACUUGGAUAACUGUAGUAAUUCUAGAGCUAAUACAUGAAUAUGUGCUUUGGUUCACGCCAAAUGCGAAUUUAUUAGAUCAAAACCAACCGGUUUCGGCCGUUAAAUUGGUGACUCUGGAUAACUAUUCUGAUCGCAUGACCUUGUGUCGGCGACGUAUCUUUCAAGUGUCUGCCCUAUCAACUUAAGUUGGUGAGUUAGUUGCUCACCAUGGUUAUAACGGGUAACGGAGAAUCAGUGUUCGAUACCGGAGAGGGAGCCUUAGAAACGGCUACCACAUCUAAGGAAGGCAGCAGGCGCGCAAAUUACCCACUCUCAGAACGAGGAGGUAGUGAAUUUAAAUAGCGAUGAUGAACUCUUAUGAGGCUCGUCAAUCGAAAUGAGUACAAUUUAAAUCCUUUAACGAGUACCAAUUGGAGGGCAAGUCUGGUGCCAGCAGCCGCGGUAAUUCCAGCUCCAAUAGCGAAUAUUAAAUUUGUUGCAGUUAAAAAGCUCGUAGUUGGAUCCAAGGUUAGGCAUGCCUGUCUGUUCUUAGUAGCAUGACUGUGUGUGUCUGCCUUUAUUAGUUGAAUGUUCAUUAUGGUGGUCUUCAUCGACUGCUAUGAUGUGCUCAACACGUUUACCUUGAAAAAAUCAGAGCGAUCAAGGCAGGCCUUCGUGCUUGUAUGUUGUUGCAAGGAAUAAUAGAAUAGGACUUCGGUUCUAUUUUGUUGGUUUUGAGAAUUGAAGUAAUGAACAAUAGAGACAGUCGGGGGCAUUUGUAUGGUGGCGUUAGAGGUGAAAUUCUGAGAUCGUCGCCAGACAAACUACUGCGAAAGCAUUUGCCAAGGAUGUCUUCAUUAAUCAAGAACGAAAGUCAGAGGUUCGAAGACGAUCGGAUACCGUCCUAGUUCUGACCAUAAACGAUGCCGACCUACAAUCGGGGGUGGUUUAUUAUAUUGACCCUCCCGGCUGUCCUCAGGAAACUUUAAGUUGGUUCUGGGGGGAAUAUGGUCUCAAGACUGAAACUUAAAGGAAUUGACGGAAGGGCACCACCAGGAGUGGAGCCUGCGGCUUAAUUUGACCCAACACGGGGAAUCUCACCCGGUCCGGACACUGGUAGGAUGGACAGAUUGAUAGCUCUUUCUUGAUUCAGUGGGUGGUGGUGCAUGGCCGUUCUUAGUUGGUGGAGUGAUUUGUCUGGUUAAUUCCGAUAACGAACGAGACUCUGUCCUGCUAAAUAGUCCAGUGGCAUCAAUCACUAUGUGAUUACAGCUGCUGUUACUUCUUAGAGGGAUUCGCGGAUUUAAACCGCAAGAAAUAGAGCAAUAACAGGUCUGUGAUGCCCUUAGAUGUCCGGGGCCGCACGCGCGCUACAUUGACAG
rnacentral:rRNA from 1 species